rnacentral:rRNA from 1 species
UACGGAGGGAGCUAGCGUUGUUCGGAUAUACUGGGCGUAAAGCGCACGUAGGCGGCGCAGUAAGUCAGGGGUGAAAUCCCGGAGCUCAACUCCGGAACUGCCUUUGAAACUGCAGUGCUAGAAUUCUGGAGAGGCGAGUGGAAUUCCGAGUGUAGAGGUGAAAUUCGUAGAUAUUCGGAAGAACACCAGUGGUGAAGGCGACUCGCUGGACAGAUAUUGACGCUGAGGUGCGAAAGCGUGGGGAGCAAACAGG